rnacentral:rRNA from 1 species
AGAACGAACGCUGGCGGCGUGCCUAACACAUGCAAGUCGAACGAGAAAGUGGAGCAAUCCAUGAGUAAAGUGGCGACCGGGUGAGUAACACGUGACUAACCUACCUUCGAGUGGGGGAUAACCUCGGGAAACCGAGGCUAAUACCGCAUAACAUCGUGAGAUCAAAGCAGUAAUGCGCUGGAAGAGGGGGUCGCGGCUGAUUAGCUAGUUGGCGGGGUAAUGGCCCACCAAGGCGAAGAUCGGUA